UACGAGCACCCCGAGUGGUCGGGACGUUUAUUGGGCCUAAAGCAUCCGUAGCCGGUUCUACAAGUCUUCCGUUAAAUCCACCUGCUUAACAGAUGGGCUGCGGAAGAUACUAUAGAGCUAGGAGGCGGGAGAGGCAAGCGGUACUCGAUGGGUAGGGGUAAAAUCCGUUGAUCCAUUGAAGACCACCAGUGGCGAAGGCGGCUUGCCAGAACGCGCUCGACGGUGAGGGAUGAAAGCUGGGGGAGCAAACCGG
rnacentral:rRNA from 1 species